rnacentral:rRNA from 1 species
CGGACGGGUGAGGAAUACAUCGGAAUCUACUCUGUCGAGGGGGAGUAACGUAGGGAAACUUACGCUAAUACCGCAUACGACCUACGGGUGAAAGCAGGGGAGUCUUCGGACCUUGCGCGAUUGAAUGAGCCGAUGUCGGAUUAGCUAGUUGGCGGGGUAAAGGCCCACCAAGGCGACGAUCCGUAGCUGGUCUGAGAGGAUGAUCAGCCACACUGGAACUGAGACACGGUCCAGACUCCUACGGGAGGCAGCAGGC